rnacentral:rRNA from 1 species
UACAGGGGGGGCAAGCGUUGUUCGGAAUUACUGGGCGUAAAGGGCUCGUAGGUGGCCGACUAAGUCAGACGUGAAAUCCCUCAGCUUAACUGGGGAACUGCGUCUGAUACUGGAUGGCUUGAGUUUGGGAGAGGGAUGCGGAAUUCCAGGUGUAGCGGUGAAAUGCGUAGAUAUCUGGAGGAACACCGGUGGCGAAGGCGGCUAUCUGGACAGAAACUGACGCUGAGGCGCGAAAGCUAGGGGAGCAAACGGG